CCUUGUGAGUAAGUUGAAUCUCAUGCUUGUUAAACUUCAACACGUGUUGCAGAAUGCGUCCCAACUUAACAAGCAUGAGUUCAACUUGCUCACUUGGAG